rnacentral:rRNA from 1 species
AAUAGAUACCCUGGUAGUCCACGCCGUAAACGAUGAGUGCUAAGUGUUAGAGGGUUUCCGCCCUUUAGUGCUGCAGCUAACGCAUUAAGCACUCCGCCUGGGGAGUACGGUCGCAAGACUGAAACUCAAAGGAAUUGACGGGGGCCCGCACAAGCGGUGGAGCAUGUGGUUUAAUUCGAAGCAACGCGGAGAACCUUACCAGGUCUUGACAUCCUCUGACAACUCUAGAGAUAGAGUGUUCCCCUUCGGGGGACAGAGUGACAGGUGGUGCAUGGUUGUCGUCAGCUCGUGUCGUGAGAUGUUGGGUUAAGUCCCGCAACGAGCGCAACCCUUGAUCUUAGUUGCCAGCAUUUAGUUGGGCACUCUAAGGUGACUGCCGGUGACAAACCGGAGGAAGGUGGGGAUGACGUCAAAUCAUCAUGCCCCUUAUGACCUGGGCUACACACGUGCUACAAUGGAUGGUACAAAGGGCUGCAAGACCGCGAGGUCAAGCCAAUCCCAUAAAACCAUUCUCAGUUCGGAUUGUAGG